GCAUGUGAACUCUUAGUUGCAAUAUGUGGGAUCUAGUUCCCUGACCAAGGAUUGAACCCAGGUCCCCUGCAUUGGGAGCGUGGAGUUUUAGCUGCUGGACCAGCAGCACAUCUGUACCUGAGUACUGGAAAAAAAUGCUGGGCUGGAUGAAGUACAAACUGGAAUCAAGAUCGCUGGGAGAAAUUUCAAUAACCUCAGAUACGCAGAUGACACCACCCUUAUGGCAGAAGGUGAAGAACUAAAGAGCCUCUAUUAACAUUUUUAUGUUUCUAAAAACAUUUUCUGUUGCCUUGUAAAGCAUUCCAAACACAUUUGACUUUCAAACCACGACGAUAAUGAUAAACACUGUGUUAUGGAUUGAA